rnacentral:lncRNA from 1 species
GGUCCUGUAAGGUACCGGACUUCUAAAGGUAUGAAGUUACGGUGUACGUUUAAAUGGUUCCGGUGAGGUUGCGGUGUAAUGUAAUAUACCGGAUUUAAAUAUAAAAAUAGAAAUAAAUAAAAAUAGUAUGAGAUACUAUUUUUAUUGGAUUUAGAGAAGUGAAAUAUGAGUUAGAAACGACCUGUGCUGAAAUCGGAAUUAAAACAGAAGAUUUAGAAUUUUCUGUUGGAAAUGGGACAGAUAAAUUAGCAGAAAAUGCACAGUCUCAGAAAAUUAUGAAAAUUGGCAGAGAUGUCAGAAAUAUUUUUAUGAGGCUAUAUUUAAAGUUUCAUAUUUUUCUGACACCCAUAGAGUGGGAAAUGAAAUCCGAAGGCUAUCUGAUAAAGAUUGCAGUUCGGUACAGUUUUCGGUGACCAAACGGGGUCGAAACUGAAAACUUUAGAUAUAUUCUUGUUCAGUACGUUAAACCGAACAUGACUGUCAAAUUUGAGCUCAAACGGACAUUCAGAAGGGCUCCAACGAAACUUAUCAGAUUUAGGGACUAAAUUGGAAGGUUGAAUAGUUGAGGGGCUAACUUGCAAAAUGGGAUUAAAUCCCUUUUCUCCUCCUUCCUCCUCAGCCGAAUGCAACACACACACACACGCAUCACGCACACACACGCAUACAUGGAAUGGGAGAGACAAAACCUCCCUUUUCUCUCUCUAAUUCUCUCCCAAAAUUGAUGAAAUUGGUGGAGAAGCAAGCUUGGAAAUGGAUCUUCAUCUCCUUCAUGUUCUUCCUCUCCAUUGGAGCUUGCUUGAGAGGUAAGCUUCAAACCCCUUUAAUGGUAGAUCCUUAAUGGUUGGUCUAAAUACCUUACAAAUGGAUUUAGAGGAAUCCUAGCACGCUAACUAGAUGAAUGAUGCUUGAUUCACGAAGAAAUUUGGUGGAUUUUUAUCUAGUUGUAAACCUAGGGUUCAAAAUGCUAAUUUUUAAAAUAUGAGGGUUUGAUCUAAUUUGACCCUCCGUAAACCUAAUUGCUAGGUAACNNNNNNNNNNNNNNNNNNNNNNNNNUUUUGGGGUGUUACAGGUUCGCACGUGAGCGGCGCGGCGGCGCGAGGAAAGGGCGUAGCUCAGUAGAUAGCGCCCUACCACAGAGACCAGAGUUAGCGGUACCCCGAGUCGACAUAUCCUAGGGGUAUAGAGAUGAAAGAUCAAUGUAUCAAAUUGUAAUGAAUAAUUGAUGUAGCAAUUCAUAUUCAGAUGUACUAUGCUUGUGAAUAAUGAUGUAGUAGCUUAGAUUGCAUUUGGUUUGAAGUAAAUUGUAAUUAAGAGGUAAGGUAUGAAUGAAUGAAUGUAAUAACUUAGGAUGUGUUUAUGUUGUUUGAUACCUUCCUUAUGCAAUCGUUGUAUGUUGAAUACUGUUCCUGUUUGGAACCUGUUGUAAUUGUAUUGAUUGCGAUGCCUUGAACGUACAGGGGAGACUCUGUCCGCAGUGCAGGGAAAACUCUGUCCGUUCGGCGCUGUCGGCGCCGCGACCCCGACCAAAUAGGCGGGUGGUCGCGGGCUGUGAUAGGUCCCUGGAAGGAGAGACCGGUCCCCCAAUGAGCAGUGUUGCGGCAGCCCUGAGGCAACCGGUCCCUGGCGGGUGACACCGGUCCCGAGCGCGUUUUCGCAAUGAGAGACCGGUCCUGCGUAGGGAGAGACCGGUUCCCGAACGCUGGUUUUUCGGGUUCGCAGCGAGAGACCGGUCCCUACUGGGGAGAGACCGGUCCCUCUGGGCGAAAACUGCCCAGACCGAGCUGUUGUGAUAUUGGAUUUUUGAGGGGCCUCUUGGGAUUUUGUUACAAUAGAGNGUGAUUGUCCUAGUUGAGGGGAUUUAAGGCCGAGGUGCAAGUGAGACGUCCUUCGCCUCGUGCCUGGCUCUGUGCGGUACUCCGCAGAUGAUUGACUCAAGACCGAGUCGAGCGGCUAGCUUUGUAAAGGUAGAUGACACCUUAUGAUUAAAAUUGUAAAUGACAGAAAACCUUAAAUGUCAAUUGGAUGAAAGUAGUAAUCGAUUGAAUUACUAGUUGGUUGUAUAGUUGCAUUAUUGCAUGAUCUUCAUAUUGCAUAUCGCGAGGCAAUGCAUGGUAUUGUUAGUUGCAUGAUCUUAUUAUCAUAUCUAUCUGUUUAUUGAACUAACCUGCAGCUUGCCUCCUUCGGACAUGUCGGUCGAGCUUUUUCCUUGGGUGGCCGUACCCACUGGGAACUAUGGAGUUAGUUCUCACCCCACGUUGCUUUUGGGGUAUUACAGGUUCACACAUGAGCGGCGCGGCGGCGCGAGGCGAGGGCGUAGCUCCGUAGAUAGCGCCCUACCACCGUGACCAGAGAUAGCGGUACCCAAGUCAGCCAAGCUAGGGGUUGUAGAAAAGAAAAUCAAAAGGAUCAAACUUGUAAUAAUCUUGUGAUGCUUGAUUGUAUUCGGAAGUUUAAAUGUAUUUGAAAGGAAAAGGAAAUGUAAAUAAUAUCAAGUGAAUGAAUGAAUGAAUGUAAUAACUUAGGAUGUGUUUAUGUUGUUUGAUACCUUCCUUAUGCAAUCGUUGCAUGUUGAAUACUGUUCCUGUUUGGAACCUGUUGUAAUUGUAUUGAUUGCGAUGCCUUGAACGUACAGGGGAGACUCUGUCCGCGGUACAGGGGAAUCCCCGGUCCGUUCGGCGCUGUCGGCGCCGCGACCUCGACCAAAUAGGCGGGGCUCGCGGGCUGUGACAGGAAGUGGUAUCAGAGCAUAAUGUAGAAAAUGGGAAAAUGGUUUAGGCAGACCUAGGAGACCCUAGGAUAGUAAACCAUAGGAGAAUAAGGCUCGUGAGAGACGAGGACUUAUGGGUUAUGGCGAAAGAUUAGUCGAUUGGGUCAGUGUUGAAGCCUCUAUAACGGAUAUUAGAGGUAGACUCGAGGUGUGGUUUAUUCUCAACCGACGGUGUUCAUGUUGGGUCGACACAACAUGAAACCGAGUGUUGAGAAUAGAUACCCUUGUGUGACUUUCGCCCGAUUUGAGUCGGUGUCAGUUGUUUCGCGUUUGACCUUGAGGGUCGAGAAUCGAUCGAGCUGUCGCGUCUUGGGAAGCGAUGGCACCGCGUAGGCGAUCUUUAUGUAGAUCGGCACGAGAUGGGACGAGUGUCAUUCCUACGCAAUCCGAAACGAACGGAGACUUGGGACUUCGUGAGCGAUUGUCCACUCUCGUGUGAGUGGCGGGGUGAUGAGCCGAAUCAAUGCGGCGUCAGCAGGAAGCUGCCGUAUGCCAGGAGGAGCGAAUGAGAAGACUCCAGGAAACGAUAAAUCAGCUGGGGGUUAUACCAGCUGCCGUUCGUCGAGUACGACCGGGAGUUGCGAUGGAAGUAUUUCCGUCGGGUUCGAGCAAUCCGACUUCUAGCACUUCAGAAGCGAAGGCGGGGAAGGACCGAGCUUCGGCGGCCCUCAUGACCUUUAAACGAUUUGAUCCGUCUGCCUUUGGUGGAGAGAAUACGGAUCCGUUUGUCGUGGAGUUGUGGAUCGACUUCAUGGAGACUCCCUUUGGGGAUCUGUGCACUGUAGAGUGAGAGGAUACACCUAGCUGUGCGUUGCUUGCAAACAAUCGGCGAAGGUGUGGUGGAAAGGCAUUCGACAGAAUCGAUUGCCUAGUUUUCCUCCUAUGAUUCGGGAUGAGUUUCGGGGAUCAAUAUUCCCUGUUUACUUCCCCGAUGCUGAGAAAGAAAAGCAUCAGGAAAGGUUCCCGAAGCUACGGCAGGUAGACCGUGUCGUGAGGGAAUACGAGCAGGAAUUCCCUCGUAUCGUGAGUUGUGUCCCGAACGUAGUGCGGGAUGACGAGGAAUUGGCCGAUGUGCCUUUACGGAGACCUUUGCCGGACGUGGUCGAGGUUGUGCGUAUAAGGAAGUGAAUUCUCGAAAUACGAGGAUUGGACUUCGUGUAGAAUCGAACAAGGGUCGUGUUGGUGUGCUUCGGAAAAGCCGAAGAUGUUUAAAUCACCAAAAGUGCGUUGGAAUUGGAGUCCACGAGAGCAAAUAGUGCAAAGUCUGCACUUGGCGGAGAUUGCUCUCGGGAACCGGUCCCUGGCAGGGAGAGACCGGUCCCCGUAGCUUGAAAUUGCUCAGUUUUGGGCAGUGCACAUUCUUGAGUUGUGGUUGCAAUCCCAACCUCGGAAGUGUCAUCUACUUAACUUUUCGGGAUGUGGGAUUGUAGAAGUUCUCACCAGGCACAGCGGUGUGCGCUGUGUGAUGAAAGGUGAUUCGUUGUGGAUGGCCAAACCUUAGCAUUGGCGAAAGCUUUUUCCUCUCCGACACAGCCUGCAGGUGUGUCACCUACAGCAUGGUCUGGAGAGUGAGUGGCGAGAAGGUGACCACCGAAGGGUUCGCAGCGGGCGCCAAGAGGCCGUGGAUAUGCGAACCGGGUUGUGAAACCUGCUGCUAUCGACGAUACCAUGGCAGGUAUGAGUUAAUUGAAGCAAGCAUAGGCUUCUGUAGGAUGUGAAGUUGGUGCAUGCAUGCAUAUGCCAUGUGGUCAUUUACUACCAUCGAUAUGUCAAUGUAGUAGGGACCAAAGGGACGGGUAAGCGUAGAUACCCGGGCAUGCUUGCAUUGUGGGAGCGUAUUAUCUGUUUGAGCGGGUAGAGAGCUGGAUAGCACUAGCAGAUGCUGGUGAUGAUUGUGGGACGAGAAGUGAGACUCGUGAUAAAGACAAAACGGUGAAGCGACUCUCAAGACAACGGGUAGUUGAUUGUGAGAAUUGCGCCGUGACCUUGAGGAUACCCAGGUAGUCCGAGUAUUCGGAUGUAGAUCCGGUAGGUUGAACAGUGGAAAGUAGAAUCACUGUCGAGAGAAUAGCCGGUUAGUUGCCAAGUACGGGCACAUAGGCCUAGUAGUACCUCAGUUUGAGGUUGGAACUUGCGCUUGUUUGGUCGGUGUGUAUAGGCAAGAUUGCCUAUUACUAGACGUAGUGUGGAACGUUAUAGAGACGUACGACGUAAAGAGCGCUCGAGUAUAGGUACUCGUGGUGUGCGGUGUUGACUCAGCCGGUGAGUGUGCAGGCAGUAGCACUUCAGCAUUGCUAGUGUGAAGCGGGCCAUGGAACACUCGUAAGGCUGGUGGCUCGCACUAGGUGUUUAGGAGCCGAUAGUGGUGCAUGUGACUCGAUAGAGUAUGUCGUGUAGGACGACGACAGCGGCAUUGCUCGAGGACGAUUCGUGCCUGGACCAUUGUGGACUGUGGAGCCUGGGCCCUUUGGGCAGGCGCAGUCAGCUGUGAGUGACAGCGGCCCGAUACCUACGGGUGGGGCAGAGUUUUGGUCAGGACGGUAGUCCGAGCUUGGACUCGGGAGCGUGGAAUGCCACGCGUGGAUCAUGAGAUCGAGGAUACACCGAGUGUGUAGUGACCCAAUCCAAGGAUUUGUCGUGGUUUGGGGUCUUAGUUGCUCCUGAUUGGAGUGUGUGCGAAUUCUCCAAUGAGAAUUUCGCCCUGUAACGAUGAUUGGGUCUACGCUAGUGAGCGAGAGAUGCUACGCGUAGUUGAGACCGGUUUAGGCGAUAGGCCUACUAGGAUUGGUGACCCGUGGUUCACCUGUGGAUUUGAGGAAAUGGAUUGAGCGAGUAGUCUUAUCAACGAGUUUAGGCUUGAAGUUACGAACGAGUUGAUAAUGACAAACUAAUAUGUUGAGUGUGUUCCCUGGCGAGAUGUGAAAUGCAAAGAGUUCUUUGCAGACUGGUUGAUGAGAGGUGGGAAAAUGUGUAGAGUUGAUGAAUGUCAACUUACACUACCACCGAGACUCACGAAGUCGUAAUGCACUUUGGACUUACACAUGGCAAAUGUGAGUGAAAUUGGUCUCACAUCCUUCGUAGUGGGCCUUUGGACAGUUCUGUCGAGUAAAAGGCCACUUCGAGAUGCGAAAGUGCAUUGGAGUCCCCGAUUGCCCGGUGAAUUGAGUUGAAGUGAGUUAGUUUCGGGGACGAAACUCUUUUAAGGAGGGGAGAAUGUAAGGUACCGGACUUCUAAAACUAUGAAGUUACGGUGUACAUUUAAAUAGUUCCGGUGAGUUGCGGUGGAAUGUAACAUACCGAAUUUUAAAUAUAAAAAUAAAAAUAAAUAAAAAUAGUAUGAGAUACUAUUUUUAUUGGAUUUAGAGAAGUGAAACAUAAGUCAGAAAUGACUUGUGCUGAAAUCGGAAUGAAAACAGAAGAUCUAGAAUUUUCUGUUGAAAACGGGACAGAUAAAUAAGCAGAAAAUGCACAGUCUCAGAAAAUUAUGAAAAUUGGCAGAGAUGUCAGAAAUAUUUUUAUGAGGCUAUAUUUAAAGUUUCAUAUUUUUCUG